rnacentral:rRNA from 1 species
UAGGGAAUCUUGCGCAAUGGGCGAAAGCCUGACGCAGCAACGCCGCGUGGGGGAUGAAGGCCUUCGGGUUGUAAACUCCUUUCAGCGGGAACGAAAAUGACGGUACCCGCAGAAGAAGCCCCGGCCAACUACGUGCCAGCAGCCGCGGUGAUACGUAGGGGGCAAGCGUUGUCCGGAUUUAUUGGGCGUAAAGAGCUCGUAGGCGGUUUGGCAAGUCAGGUGUGAAACCUCCAGGCUUAACCUGGAGACGCCACUUGAGACUGCUAUGACUAGAGUCUGGUAGGGGACCAUGGAAUUCCUGGUGUAGCGGUGAAAUGCGCAGAUAUCAGGAGGAACACCAGUAGCGAAGGCGGUGGUCUGGGCCAGUACUGACGCUGAGGAGCGAAAGCGUGGGGAGCGAACAGGAUUAGAUACCCCCGUAGUCC